UUUUGCUCAAAUCCUUGAAAAAAAGAAAUCUUCUGGACCCGAAAGGUGAUUUAAUGAUACUUUGAUCCUAUUUUACGUUUAGGUUUUGGACCCGUGAAUUGAACUCUUGUAUUUGGUUUAUGAUAAAUUAGAAACAGAGCGAUUGGAAACUAUGUCCCAAUAACGAGAUGGCAAGACCUGAUCUGAGUGCCGCUGCUUUUACUUCUCUUUUUUUGUUUUCUUGCUUAAAUAAAUUGCUAGAACAAGUUAGAAUCAAUAAAAAUAUGCAUGCUGCAUCGAUAAGUUUACAGAUAAUUUUUUAUCAAGAUAUUGAGAAUUUAACUGCAUUUUCUGAAAAUAAGUUGCGGGUAGGGUAAGAGAGGAUUAGUAAAAUUCGACUGCAAAAGAAGAGGGAGGCAAGUAAUUGGAGAGUGA
rnacentral:lncRNA from 1 species